CUCUCCCUCUGAGCACCGUGGUCGGGAUCGGAUAGUCGAUCUCCCCCUCUGCGCGUCGUGGCCGGGAUUGGGCAGCCGGCCUCCCCUGCGAGCAUCUUCAUCGGCUUCGAAGCCGGCAUCGGCCUCCCGUGCAAGCGUCUCCGACAGCUUCGAAGUCGGCACCGGCCUUCCCUGUGAGCGUCUCCAUCGGCUCCAAGGCUGGUAUCGACCUCCCCCAUGCUUGCUGUGCCCAGGAUUAGGCGGCCCCAACGCAUCCCCCGUGAAUGCUGAGCCCAACAUCAGCGGCCCGGGGCCUCCCUCGAACUCACGCACGCGCCUACCAUCGCUGGAGCUAGGAUCGGCCACCCCGGCCUUCUCCCACGCUCACCGUGCGAUUGCCAGCACCGGAUCCGGCAUCGGAGGCCCCUUCGUUCUCCCCCGACCCCGAUGUGGGCCCAAGACUCUCCAAAGCCUCCUUUUUUGGCGACUGAAGCCUCUCACAUGGCCGAACCCCCAGACUGCUCUCUUGUGCACCGCUUCUAUGUCGGCACCCAAGCCUACCGGCAUGUUCAGUCCCCUGCGUGCACCUUUCCUCUAGCCACAUCGAACCCACCGGUGGAUCCGGUCCCAGGUGGCCCCGAGGUGACCCCAAAGCUGGACUAGUUGGGGCGUGCCCUGCAUGAUCGGCCGCACCAUUCUUGUGAAGACCCCCAGUCAGCACCAAAAUCUCCGCUUGUGAGCUUCGUCUCCAUCCGCACCGAACCUCACCGGUGGAGCCAACCCUAGGCCGUGCUAUAUCUCGCCGGCUGAUCCGACCUCUGGUGUGGGUGCCAAAGUUUUGAAAUCCUCCGAUCUAUCUGAUCCUGCGUCGCGCCUUUUCUCCUCGGUGCGCAUCUUGGACUAUACUGAGUCCACGGCUGAUUCGCUCUUUGAUGGUGCUAAUGCCCUCCAACAGCCGAACCCAUCGGCAAAUCCGAAGUCAUGGGGUAUGUGGGAGCCAUUCACUAUUACAAUCCAUCAUUUUGGAAAGAUUGAUCCUUGCCCAAUCCAUCGGGCCAUAUCCCCUAUAUGGGAUAGGGUCACAUCGGUCACUUGGACUUCGAUUGUCGGCUCCGACCUCAGCAUUCGUACCAAGCUUGCUGCCGACCUCCGAGGCCUAUUCCUCUUGACCCUUGGUUCGGUUGCCACCAGCCGAGCCUUCUGUGCAGCUAUCAAAUCAGGUUAUUAAAGGCUGCGACUUGUCAUGAUGGCCUUGGGAUGUUUUCUUGCUAACUGGUCACACCCAUCUAUUAAAGGUGCAGGUGGUCAAAAGGGAGGUGAGACCAUAUCAUUCUCCUAUCUCCUCAAAAGUCAACUCAUACAAUCAAUACAAGCAGUCUCCCCCUAUGCUCCAAGAAUUGUUUUGGAUCACCUGAGCUUGACAGAGGCAUUGAUGCCUCCCCCUCUUGUCCCAAUUCCCCAUAAGCCAUAUCAGACAAAGAAAAGAAAGAAGAGGGAGAAUAGAGAUAGUGGUGG
rnacentral:lncRNA from 1 species